UUUGGAGGUCUCACAGUUUUAACAUCUAUGCUUUAACAACAAACAGUUGUAUCUGAAUUUAUGAUUUUCUUCUUCGUAUUUGGAUUUCCAAAAUCACUCUGACCUAUAUACUUUGUGUGUCGAUGGAUAAAAAAGCCAUCUCUCUAGCGUUGUCCUCACAAGAAAAGGCACGCCAAUGCAUUAUUAAUAAUAGGUUAUAUAGUAUAUAUAAACAACUCUCAUCAGACAAAAAAGAAGCACUUUAUCUACAACAUCGGACAACAUAUCAACAAUUGAUCAGCACCAAAAUUCUCCUUGGUGGUUCUCUUACUCCACUACCUAAUGCUCAGCUUCAAUUCACUGUACAGAAAAGUGUUACUGUUAGAGACAUAUCGCCUCACCCUGAAACAAGUUUGCUAAAUAUACUGCAUAACUGCAUGAAGUUUUAUCUUUGACUUAAGUGUAGUUCUGAUUUGCUGAUGGUUAUUACACCGUUGUUCGUGCUCUAGGCAACACCUCUUGCAUUGAUACUUCUACAGUUGUAUUUGGCAAAGGAAAAGAUAUAAUUGGUUGACUAUCCAUCUUUGAAGUAACGACCGGGGAGCGGCUUCCCUACUAGAAGGACUCAUCUCAAGACACAUCACGACCUAUAUAUAACUUUUUCUUCAUUCUUCUUCUUCUUGUCUUUUUAAAAAAUAAAACAAAAUUUGAAUUCA